rnacentral:rRNA from 1 species
AUUGAACGCUGGCGGAAUGCUUCACACAUGCAAGUCGAGCGGCAGCGCGGGGCAACCUGGCGGCGAGCGGCGAACGGGUGAGUAAUGCAUCGGAACAUGUCCAUGUCGUGGGGGAUAGCCCGGCGAAAGCCGGAUUAAUACCGCAUACGCUCGAGAGAGGAAAGCCGGGGACCGCAAGGCCUGGCGCGAUUGGGUUGGCCGAUGUCCGAUUAGCUUGUUGGUGAGGUAAAGGCUUACCAAGGCGAUGAUCGGUAGCUGGUCUGAGAGGAUGAUCAGCCACACUGGGACUGAGACACGGCCCAGAGUCCUACGGGAGGCAGCAGUGGGGAAUUUUGGACAAUGGGGGCAACCCUGAUCCAGCCAUUCCGCGUGAGUGAAGAAGGCCUUCGGGUUGUAAAGCUCUUUUGUCCGGAGCGAAACGGGUGCGGCUAAUACCUGCGCCUACUGACGGUACCGGAAGAAUAAGCACCGGCUAACUACGUGCCAGCCGCCGCCGUAAUAC